UACGUAGGUGGCAAGCGUUGUCCGGAUUUAUUGGGUUUAAAGGGUGCGUAGGCGGUCCUAUAAGUCAGUGCUGAAAUAUCCCGGCUUAACCGGGAGGGUGGCAUUGAUACUGUGGGACUUGAGUAAAGUUGAGGUUGGCGGAAUUGACGGUGUAGCGGUGAAAUGCGCAGAUAUCAGGAGGAACACCAGCGGCGAAGGCGGCGCUCUGGGCCGGAACUGACGCUGAGGAGCGAAAGCGUGGGUAGCAAACAGG
rnacentral:rRNA from 1 species